rnacentral:rRNA from 1 species
UACGGGGGGAGCAAGCGUUGUUCGGAUUUACUGGGCGUAAAGGGCGCGUAGGCGGCGCAACAAGUCACUUGUGAAAUCUCCCGGCUUAACUGGGAGGGGCCGUGCGAAACUGCCUGGCUUGAGGUCGGAAGGGGAAAGUGGAAUUCCGGGUGUAGUGGUGGAAUACGUAGAUAUCCGGAGGAACACCAGCGGCGAAGGCGGCUUUCUGGUCCGAUUCUGACGCUGAGGCGCGAAAGCGUGGGGAGCGAGUCCGG